rnacentral:rRNA from 1 species
AAUAUUGGACAAUGGGGGCAACCCUGAUCCAGCCAUGCCUCGUGUGUGAAUAAGGUCUUCGGAUUGUAAAGCACUUUAAGUUGGGAGGAAGGGCUUUAGGUUAAUACCCUGAAGUUUUGACGUUACCAACAGAAUAAGAACCUGCUAACCCUGUGCCAGCAGCCGCGGUAAUACAGAGGGUGCAAGCGUUAAACGGAAUUACUGGGCGUAAAGGGCGAGUAGGUGGUUCAGUAAGAUGGGUGUGAAAUCCCCGGGCUAAACCUGGGAACUGCUUUCAUAACUGCUGAGCUAGAGUACGGUAGAGGGUAGUGGAAUUUCCUGUGUAGCGGUGAAAUGCGUAGAUAUAGGAAGGAACACCAGUGGCGAAGGCGACUACCUGGACUGAUACUGACACUGAGGUGCGAAAGCGUGGGGAGCAA